rnacentral:rRNA from 1 species
CGGCGGACGGGUGAGUAACGCGUGGGCAACCUGCCUCAUACAGGGGGAUAACAGUUAGAAAUGACUGCUAAUACCGCAUAAGACCGCGGUACCGCAUGGUACAGCGGUAAAAACUCCGGUGGUAUGAGAUGGGCCCGCGUCUGAUUAGCUAGUUGGCGGGGUAACGGCCCACCAAGGCGACGAUCAGUAGCCGACCUGAGAGGGUGACCGGCCACAUUGGGACUGAGACACGGCCCAAACUCCUACGGAAGGCAGCAG